rnacentral:rRNA from 1 species
UCCCGUAGGGUGAACCUGCGGAGGGAUCAUUACACAAAGAUAUGAAGGUAGGGUACUGGCAACAGUGCUCUGCUGAAAUAUUUUCACCCAUGUCUUUUGCGCACUUUUUGUUUCCUGGGCGAGUUUGCUCGCCACCAGGACCCCCAUAUGAACCUUUUUUGUUUUUGCACUCAGCGUCAGUACAAUAAUUUAAUCUAUUAAAACUUUCAACAACGGAUCUCUUGGUUCUGGCAUCGAUGAAGAACGCAGCGAAAUGCGAUACGUAGUGUGAAUUGCAGAAUUCAGUGAAUCAUCGAAUCUUUGAACGCACAUUGCGCCCUUUGGUAUUCCAAAGGGCAUGCCUGUUCGAGCGUCAUUUGUACCCUCAAGCUUUGCUUGGUGUUGGGCGUCUUAUUGUCUCUCCGUCUCGGGGAGACUCGCCUUAAAACAAUUGGCAGCCGGCCUACUGGUUUCGGAGCGCAGCACAAAUUUGCGCUUGCAAUCAGCCAAGGGCGGCAUCCAUGAAGCCUUUUUUCUCUCACAUUUUGACCUCGGAUCAGGUAGGGAUACCCGCUGAACUUAAGCAUAUCAAUA